AACUUGGCAGAGAUGCCUUGGUGGCCUUCGGGAACGCUGAGACAGGUGCUGCAUGGCUGUCGUCAGCUCGUGUUGUGAAAUGUUGGGUUAAGUCCCGNAACGAGCGCAACCCUUAUCCUUUGUUGCCAGCGAUUCGGUCGGGAACUCAAAGGAGACUGCCGGUGAUAAACCGGAGGAAGGUGGGGAUGACGUCAAGUCAUCAUGGCCCUUACGAGUAGGGCUACACACGUGCUACAAUGGCGCAUACAAAGAGAAGCGACCUCGCGAGAGCAAGCGGACCUCAUAAAGUGCGUCGUAGUCCGGAUCGGAGUCUGCAACUCGACUCCGUGAAGUCGGAAUCGCUAGUAAUCGUGGAUCAGAAUGCCACGGUGAAUACGUUCCCGGGCCUUGUACACACCGCCCGUCACACCAUGGGAGUGGGUUGCAAAAGAAGUAGGUAGCUUAACCUUCGGGAGGGCGCUUACCACUUUGUGAUUCAUGACUGGGGUGAAGUCGUAACAAGGUAGGCGUAGCGAG
rnacentral:rRNA from 1 species